rnacentral:lncRNA from 1 species
GGUCCCUAAUUGAGAGACUCCCGAAGCUGCCAUGCCGAGAGCAAAAAUUACCUACAAAUCAGGAAUCAAAACCAUCAAUGCUAGAAAAAUGUGCAAGGUCAAAUUUUCGUUUCUUCAUCUUUUUUAGCUUUUCAUUGUUAUACCCUUUUUGUGUUGUUGUUGUUGUUGUUAAUGCUGAAUGUAUAAGGUGAUUUUCAUUUUUACGUGAUGGUAAGAAAAAGUUGUUUGCGGCAUCUUUAUUGGUUAGAGAUCGUUGUUUAUACUGAGUAAUUAUACUUCAUACUGCAAUUUUUUGUAUUGAGUCUGUGUUUUUUAUUUCUUACACCGAACGAGUUUUAUGUUUCAAAAAUUUGGUAUCACUCUCU